CCCUUAGAUGUUCUGGGCCGCACGCGCGCUACACUGAUGCAUUCAACGAGUUUCUUCCUGGUCCGAGAGGAAUGGGUAACCUUUUGGAAGUGCAUCGUGAUAGGGAUAGACUAUUGCAAUUAUUGGUCUUCAACGAGGAAUUCCUAGUAGACGUAGUUCAUCAGACUGCAUCGAUUACGUCCCUGCCCUUUGUACACACCGCCCGUCGCUCCUACCGAUUGAAUGCUCAGGUGAGCCAUUCGGACCUUCAUCAUGCCGGUUUCCGGUUUUGAUGAGGGAAAGUCUUGCGAACCUUAUCAUUUAGAGGAAGGAGAAGUCGUAACA
rnacentral:rRNA from 1 species